ensembl:lncRNA
UUUUUUUUUUUUUUUUUUUUUUUGUCUUUUUGUCUUUUGUCGUUGUUGUUGCUAUUUCUUGGGCCGCUCCCACGGCAUAUGGAGGUGCAGCCCUAAACAGCAAAAAAAAAAAAAAGAAUCAUCACAAAGAAAGGAAUGUGAAAAGUUGAAGAGUCAUUCAGGAUAGUAAAUGAUAAGAUGAUUUUUUUAUUCUGGAGAAAUGUGAAAUCUACUAAAAACAGGAAUUUUGAAAAAUAAGGUUUGAAGAAUAAAAAUGAAUGAUUAAAAAAAAAAAAUGAUCCUCUGUCCAGCCCUUUUCACCAUAUGAGGGACAGAAACAUCUGCCAUCUCUCUUGAACUCACAACACUGCAUCCCGAUAUGUAACUGUUCCCAUACCACAGAUGAGAAAGCCAAGUCUUACCAAGAUGAAGGGACUUUGCUCUGCCAGUAUUAACUGCCAUGUCGUGACAACCUACAACAUGCUAGUCUAACCCCUCUCACAUGUUAUUACGUACUUAAUAAAAUUUUAGAAACGUUUAAGAAAUGUGCAAGACUCAGUGUUAGUUACUAAGGUAACAGCAUUGAACAGGACAGACAUUUUCUACCGAAUACAUGCUGAAUAUAUUAACACUUGCAACAACAUUAUUAUCAUCGGGCCCAUUCUGCCGAUGUGCAAACUGAGGCUCAGAAAGGUUAAGUGGUUUGCCUCAGGAACACCAAGCUUCCCAUGACUCCCAGAGACGUCUAAGCUGCACAAUCAUGUUGACGUCACCAAGGGAAGGCGGAAAGGACCAGGCACGCCCUGUCUACAGGAGGGAGGGAGAGAGUGGAGUAAACCCAGGCCUGGGUGCCCAGCCCUCCUGCACCUACUGUCAGCAGCCAAAGCAGGAAAACAGAUCCCACCUUCCAUUUUUUUCCCUGUUGCUCAUCAAGCUUCCUCUCCCCACUCCAAGGAACACCUCACCCGAAGGGGCAGAACGGAUCCCUGCCUACCCACUGGAAGAGCCCCUGGAAGGCCCCGCCCCCACUUCCAAAUGCCCUCCCUGCCUAGUCUGACACCGCGUGGAAUCCUACCAUGAGUAACUUGCAGGUGUGGGAACUCCGGGCAACACACACAUUACCUGCAAGGGGUACUCGAUCUCAGGGUGCACCCGGCAGCCUCGCACACCUGCACCUGGCUGCCCGCCUGUGUGGAGGGCCCGAGUCACCCAGAAACACUAUGAGGAAGAAGAUACUAGGAAAGCACAUUACUGCCAGCUGACCCUCUUAGCUACUCGGGAACAUUAAUAAAUAAAUGAGUGACUCGGAAAUUAUCUUCUGGGAAGGCAGAAACACCACAUCCGAGAUCGCUUUUACCAACAUUAAAACAGUCCUGUAAAUGAAGCAGGAACAUUUCCAGCCUGCAAAACAAAAAUGCUUUCGCCAGCACACCUUUCACCUGGAAGUCUGAGCAGCAUUCACGCCUGUUAUCCAGGGGAAAUGAUUACCUGUCUUUGGUGCUUAUUUCCAAACCCUCCAAAGAAGAAAUGAAUGUUGAGGGGCACAGCAAUCUUGGAGACGGGCUGAGAACCUUCCCCAGGCUGUUCCCAGGGGAAUAUGUACAAAGGCUCAAACAUGUCCUGUGGCCCUGGUGUGCCCACCGAGCCCCGGCUGGCUUGACCCCAGCCUCACAACUGCACAGCAGCCCUCUCCCUGCAUCAGCCAAGCUCAGCAUCUCCAACCUGGGGCAGACUCCUUUCCCAGGGAGCUGAAAGAUCCCAGAACAGAACCAACUGGUUUCCCACCUCCAGAUGAGAGAAUCCCAUCGCAAAAAAUAACCUCCUCAACACAGCAGUUGGCAGAGCACGGCAGAAAGCAUGCAACAAAGCCACUUCAGCAGCCAUAAAGCAGACGGAUUCAUCCAGAGUCAGAACCCAAGUGGCCGCCCCCAGCCCCGAGUACCCUGUGCUCCUUCUCCACACGGGGAUGCCACCAGAGAGGCUGCCACCCCCACUUCCCUUCACCCAUCCCCUCGCUAAGGCUGCUGUCUCUGCACUUACCCGAUUCCCAGGAAGAGGCAUGGCAGCCCAGUGGGAUCCCACGGAGCCAGGAAUUCAACCCCCUCCUCACUGCCAAGCCAAGCCAAGCCAAAGAUAGCCCGUUCAGUCCUUCCAGUUUUCACCAGCACCACCACCCCACGUCAGCCUCGGGGGAGGCGCCUCUCCACCCAGCCAGGUUUGACCAUGAGCUUAGGGGUGGGGUGGGGUCUCCGUAGUUGGUUUUACUCACUCAGCUCCAAACAGGACACCUCUGGGGGCUGCCCGUCCUUCCCAUCAGCAGCCCCAAUCAAUCUAUUUCUAAGCAAAGUGGCAAAUCAGGAGACCCCAGUCCGAGCAAAACCUAAGACUGGGUAGAAGGAUUUCAAACUCAGUCUCUCUGCCUGUCUGUGGGAAAUCCGGGCUCCCUUCCUCUGCCAGAGAAGCCACCAAGCCAGAUUUUGUUUCUAGAAAAUUAAUAAGACAAUUCCACACCACUGCCAGUGACUUUCUGCUCCAACUGCUACCGUUUACCACCGUUUCUAGAAACAGUCAUCUACAGUCUUGUAGUUCUACUCUCUAACCCCGACUCCGCGCCCCUUCAGCAUGUGGCAAAGCUGACCUGAGGCCAAGCUGGGCAGGACCCGCUUGAGGCCAUCUCGGCCAUGCCCCGACCUCCAGCCAAGGGUUGCCGGCUGAGCGCUCGCCCGCUUCUCAGUGCAGCCUUCCCGCUGGAGGGAGGUAAACACGGCAACACAGCACGCACGCUGUCUGCUCCCGGGAGGGCAGACACACUCAGAGGCCGGACCGCCUGCUGUCUCUCCUGCUCCCCAGACAACCAACAUGCAUGCACACAAAACGGGGUACGUACACAAGGCCCCGCAUGCGGGUGCAGAGGGUCCUGACCCCCAUCAAGGAGAGCGCAGAGAAAGGCAUGUUCCUGGGGGAGAAAGCCGGAGGAAGGGGCCGGGCAGAGGGAGGAAGGCAGCGAACCGGGUGGCCUGCCGCCCAGACAAUAACAAAGAUGGGAAUGGAGAUUUUCAAAGACGCAGUGGCUGCACCCAGCGCUGAGCUCUGGCCUGGCUAAAUCUUGCUGCCAGGGCACGCCUGGUCCCCUGGGGCACCAGGGCCAUCAGAGAAAGGCUGAGGGUCCUGCCUCAAGCUGAGCUUGGCAGCUGGGGCAGGAAACCAGCUGCAGGCAGAGGUGAGGAUGCCCUAGAGAGAGUAGUUCUGGGCUGAUAAAAAUUAAAGGUCUCGUAAUUCUCCUGGAGGGUGGAAGGGGUACUCUUCCAGAAAAUGCUGGGGGUCAGUUAAACAGUCACUCAACCUUGGGCGGGAGUUGGGCUAUAACUUGUACUCCUCUGCCUGCCGGAACCAAGGGGGAGGGGAGAGACAUUUUCAUUCUACCUGUGCCUCCCCGACAGGGAGUGCCAACCUACCAAUCAUACACAGGGGCACAGCCCUAUGAAGGAAGGCAGAUGCCAGGGGCCUCAGAUGUGGGGGCUGAAUGCUGAAAAGGCUCCUUGGUGCCUGCCUGUUCCUUCACCUCCACUUAGCUGAGCAGGGACACGUUCUAACUGGCACCAGAAUUCAUCGCCAUGCCUGUGCCCAAGUAGAAAGGUGCCGGGCUAGUACAGCUGGAGAAGGAGGACCCGGAGAGGCUGUGUCCGCCCAGUGCCCCCGGACGCAGACAGGAUGGCUUGCCCUUGCGAGCUGAAGCCUGCUCCUUGCCAGUGACUCCUGGCAGGCUGAACCAUCUCCUCCCUCUGCUCUUCUGCCCCACAAGCCACCUCCCCUUGGAAUUUCCACACCUGCUCCAGGCUUGCCCAAGAAAAGGAAACCGGGAAUAGGAGACACCCCUGGGAGUGGAGAGGUGAGGGAGGGAAGCAGCUGCCCAGGCUGGAGAGGAUGAGGCCCUUCUUCCUUGGCCUCAAGCAAUGCCCCUGAGCUCAGGGCCCCAGCACUGCCCGCUCCGCUCGCCCCAGCCCCCAGCGGAGCACGCGCCCUACUUAGAGCAGAUGUGCCCCCUAAGCGGCCCAGCCCCCUGCUGCUCCUCCCCUCCAGAUGUUCACCCUUUUCCUCACCGCUGGGUCCCCGCAAAACCCAGCCAAAAAU